AAAGAAACCAACAGGGAUUGCCUUAGUAGCGGCGAGUGAAGCGGCAAAAGCUCAAAUUUGAAAUCUGGCACUUUCAGUGUCCGAGUUGUAAUUUGAAGAAGGUAUCUUUGGGUCUGGCUCUUGUCUAUGUUUCUUGGAACAGAACGUCACAGAGGGUGAGAAUCCCGUGCGAUGAGAUGUCCCAGACCUAUGUAAAGUUCCUUCGAAGAGUCGAGUUGUUUGGGAAUGCAGCUCUAAGUGGGUGGUAAAUUCCAUCUAAAGCUAAAUAUUGGCGAGAGACCGAUAGCGAACAAGUACAGUGAUGGAAAGAUGAAAAGAACUUUGAAAAGAGAGUGAAAAAGUACGUGAAAUUGUUGAAAGGGAAGGGCUUGAGAUCAGACUUGGUAUUUUGUAUGUUACUCUCUCGGGGGUGGCCUCUACAGUUUACCGGGCCAGCAUCAGUUUGAGCGGUAGGAUAAGUGCAAAGAAAUGUGGCACUGCUUCGGUAGUGUGUUAUAGUCUUUGUCGAUACUGCCAGCUUAGACUGAGGACUGCGGCUUCGGCCUAGGAUGUUGGCAUAAUUAUCUUAAGUCGCCC
rnacentral:rRNA from 1 species